CCUACGGGAGGCUGCAGUGAGGAAUAUUGGUCAAUGGACGCAAGUCUGAACCAGCCAUGCCGCGUGCAGGAUGACUGCCCUAUGAGUUGUAAACUUCUUUUGUACGAGGGUAAAACCCGAUACGUGUACCUUGUUGAAAGUACCUUACGAAUAAGGAUCGGCUAACUCCGUGCCAGCAGCCGCGGUAAUACGGAGGAUCCGAGCGUUAUCCGGAUUUAUUGGGUUUAAAGGGUGCGUAGACGGGUUGAUAAGUUAGUGGUGAAAGGUUGGGGCUCAACCCCGAAACUGCCUUUGAUACUGUUGGACUUGAGAAUAGUUGCGGUAGGCGGAAUGUAUGGUGUAGCGGUGAAAUGCUUAGAGAUCACACAGAACACCGAUUGCGAAGGCAGCUUACUAAACUAUAUCUGACGUUGAGGCACGAAAGCAUGGGUAGCAAACAGGAUUAGAUACCCGAGUAGUC
rnacentral:rRNA from 1 species